CUCUGCUUUGUAUGCCCUGCUCUCUGACUGUUUGUGGGGUAUUUACAUUGGUGCAAAAAGGAAAAGCUGCUCCUUGGAGCAGCAGCGGCCAGACAACCGUAGAGAUAGAUCCACAGAUGAAUGGCUAAUCUGCUGCUUGUCUACUAAUUCUAUCUCACAUUU
rnacentral:snoRNA from 1 species